UCCCCAAAACACCCCCCGGCCGGCCCCCUCUGCUUCGCUCGUCGACAGCCCUGAAACCCCCCAAGAAUCGAAGUAGAUCGAAGAUUCUCUCGUCGAUUCCAUCGCCAAUUCGGUCCUCGUAGGGUUUUAAUCCAUCGAUCUCACUCUAUUGCGGUUUACCAAUCCUUCUUGCACUUCUUGGAGCUCGAUCUUGGAUCUUCUCUCCUUGGGUGCUCUUGCCCCAUCGGUCUAACUUGCUAUCAGUUGUUAGAUACCAGAUGAUUGCCACUAAUGGGUCCAAGUGUGGUAAUGUUCUGAUAUAAGAUGCCUUGGAUGAAUUGGGUUAGCUGUCAUUAUGCAAUUACUGUUGAGAUAAUGCGGUGAUAUGGCAGUUGUGCAAUCUAUUUUAGUGCACUUAAUUGCUUGAUUAGUUCAUUCUGAGGAAAAAAAAGGAUAGCUAUAGUUGUUUCAUGGCUGGCCACUCAUUAGCCCAUCAGGAUCAUAAUCUAGUUGUUCCAGACCAUUCUCUUGUCAUUGGCCAAGAGUUCCCAGAUGUGGAAACCUGCAGAAGGACACUUAAAGAUAUUGCUAUUGCUUUACAUUUUGAUCUUCGGAUAGUGAAAUCUGAUAGGAGCCGAUUCAUAGCCAAGUGCUCCAAGGAAGGAUGCCCCUGGCGAGUUCAUGUAGCAAAGUGUCCUGGUGUCCCUACUUUCUCAAUCAGGACCUUGCAUGGGGAGCAUACAUGUGAAGGAGUUCGCGGUCUUCAUCACCAGCAAGCCACUGUGGGUUGGGUUGCCAGAUCCGUGGAGGCCCGACUAAGAGAUAAUCCACAAUACAAACCAAAGGAGAUAUUGCAAGAUAUCCGUGAACAGCAUGGGGUUGCUGUGUCUUAUAUGCAAGCUUGGCGUGGGAAAGAGCGAAGCAUGGCUGCAGUCCAUGGCACUCUUGAGGAUGGAUAUCGCCUUCUUCCAGCAUACUGUGAACAAAUAAAGAGAACAAAUCCUGGGAGCAUUGCAUUAGUUUAUGCAACCGGUCCAGAAAACUGCUUCCAUCGUGUGUUUAUUUCCUACCGUGCAUCAAUAUAUGGUUUUCUGCAUGCUUGCCGGCCACUAUUGGAACUUGAUAGGGUACAACUUAAAGGAAAAUACCUUGGAGGUUUGCUUUGUGCCUCAGCUGUUGAUGCUGAUGACACACUAUAUCCGCUGGCAUUUGCUAUUGUGGACACAGAGAGCGACGAAAAUUGGAUGUGGUUUCUAUCAGAAUUGCGAAAGCUCCUUGGAGUUAAUACAGACAAGAUGCCUGUAUUAACAAUUUUGUCCGAGAGACAGAAUGGCAUCGUAGAAGCAGUUGAAACCCAUUUCCCCACUGCUUUUCAUGGAUUCUGCCUGCGUUAUGUAAGCGAGAGCUUCCGUGAUGAGUUCAAAAAUUCAAAAUUAGUCAACCUCUUUUGGAAUGCUGUGUAUGCUCUCACUGCAGCUGAAUUUGAGGCAAAGGUAACUGAGAUGAUGGAAGUUCAAGAUGUUAUGCCUUGGUUCCGUCUUUUUCCACCUAACCUCUGGGCUGUUGCAUACUUUGAGGGGGUACGUUAUGGUCACUUCACUCUGGGAAUCACGGAGAUAUUGUAUACUUGGGCCCUUGAUGGCCAUGAACUUCCUAUCGUGCAAAUGAUGGAACACAUACGCCAUCAAUUAACUGCUUGGUUUAAUGAUCGUCGCAAUAUGGGAAUGUCAUGUUCCUCAGUUCUUGUUCCCUCUGCUGAGAAGCUUAUUUCAGAAGCUAUUGCUGAUUCACGUUGUUAUCAAGUCCUCCGUGCAAAUAAAGUGGAGUUUGAGAUUGUAUCAUCUGAGAGAACAAAUAUUGUUGAUAUACAGAGCUGGUGUUGCUCAUGUCGUCGGUGGCAAAUCUAUGGUAUCCCAUGUGCACACGCGGCUGCUGCACUUCUAUCUUGUGGUGAAGAUGUCCGGCUCUAUGCUCAAGAGUGUUUCAGCAUUAGGAAAUACAGAGAAGCCUAUUCACAAAUGAUAUAUCCCAUUCCAGAUAGAAAUCUUUGGAAGGAAUCAGGUGAGGGAACAGAAGGUGGAGGUAACAAAGCAGAUAUUAUUGUACGCCCUCCUAAGACUCGUCGGCCACCUGGCCGCCCCAAAAAGAAGGUUCUUCGGAUAGAAAGUUUAAAGCGCCCAAAGCGAGUUGUUCAAUGCGGCCGAUGUCAUCUAUUAGGGCAUUCUCAAAAGAAAUGGACUGGCUUGUUUGUGGUCAUUGUAUGAGAGAAGAGAGAGUGACUGAUGGAGAUAAGGGAGAAACCUAUCUUAACUGGAAUUUGAUUCCCUGAGCAGUAUAUAUCUAUCUGGACUGACAAAGCACAUAAGAUGAUUUAUGGCUAUGGGCUCCAAAACAGUUAUUUUGAUUACCUUCUGGCGUAUCCAAGGCAAAAUGAGUCCACUUUCCUUCAAGGAACAUGAUCUUACUUGAAACCAAACAGACUUGAAAGGUGAGAGGGAAAGAAGCUGAACCAUGGGUAUGACAUCUGGAGAGCUUUAUACCUGAGUAAAGCAAUUCAGGAUGCACUUUCCCAUGUUUAUGUGUUCCUGCUUGCAUAGGUGCGGGUGUUGGGAUUAGCGGUUCUGGUGUCCCACAGCUAUUAAGGAUGUGUGAUAUUUCACAUAUAGCAUAUCAAUGAAAGUUUAUUUGGAUUCUGAUAAAGUAGCAUAUUUUUAUUUUCACUAUGCAAUGGUUCUUUCCUAUUAUCUUUUAAUAAUGAUUCCCUCUCUAUUACUGCAUACUACAAGCUCUCCUUUAUCAUUCGCCAGAUUUUCUUAGUCAAUGAAUGAUGGUGAACAUGCUUGUUAUUGGUUAGUCUUGCAUCUCCUCAGAAUUCUGCAACCAGAUGUUACUGUCAUGUUUCAUGAACCAAAUGAACUGAGCUUCCACUUUCUUGAAGUCACCAUCGAUGAUUAUCAGGAACCGUUGAGCUCUCAAUUUAUUUUAUUUAAAUAAUGCUUUGAUUUAGAAAGAGGUACUCUAUAUUUUGGGUUUUUUCAAUUGCAAAAUUGUAGGCUGCCUUUCUGUUGUUCUGUAAGUUAAAUUUCAGGAUGAGCUAGCUGUAGUUAAAUCUCUUUGUCUCUGUUUCUUUCAGUUAUUAAUCGUGUCAUCUCAAACAUCCAAACUGGUGACAGGCUUUGGCGCAAAGGUAAGAUUGGUCCAUUAUAACCUGAGUGUGAUAGGCUCAAAGCCACACCGGAUCUCAUAGUGGCUGGAGUCUCGAUGCCCCUGUUUAUUUCAGACAUCCAAACUCUAUUUUACGUGAUAGGUAUUGUAAGCUUUUUGUGAGUAAUUUUUAGAAUAUGUAUCACAAAUUUACCUUAAGUAUCCUAUUUUAUAAAAUCAAAAAUGUUUUGACACAUCUGGAUCCGAUGUAGUCUAAUAUUGUGGAAGGACUUACUUAAUUUAUUAUAUACUUAUGUUUGCUAAUAUUUUAAUGGUAAAUGUUUUUUUUAUUAAAAAAAAAGAUGGUCUCUCAUCAGCUUCAUUAAAAAAACUAAAUUGUUACAUCUAGUCCCAGAUAGGGAUGAAAACACAAAAUAAAAAUACAAUAAGAGAUGAAGAAGGGAGUGAAGAGGGGAUAGAUAUAAGAGUGACUAGAGCUGUCAAAUUCCUUAUCUGAAAGGUUAUUAGAACCUGGAGUUUCACCUCUUCUCUUACUUGGCUACAUAGAUCCAGUUCGAAAUAAAUGCCCAUCACCAUACCCUUCCAUGUUGCACUUAUCCUGUCUAAAAACCAAGCUUUUCCCGUGAAAUUAAUGGUAAAUAGUCAAUUCUUGGAAUUUAUAAUGUUGAUAUUACUAUAUGACUAUAAGUUGUGGUCUAUAAUUUAUGAUUAAAUGCUAGAACUUUUAGAUAUUGAUGCUCUUUUGUAUAGUAUGGCUCAUGUGGUAACCUGAUAUGCUUAGUGUUUUUUUUUUUUUUUAACAUAUACUAGCGAACAAAACAAGUAGAAUUUUUGAAUAAGUAGAUAAAAAUUAUGUGUAAACUUUUCUAAAUUUUAAAAAUUUAUAUUAAGAAUCAUAUUAUACACAAAUGGAAAUUUUAAAAAAAAAAGGAACAAGAUUGAACAAGAUUGCAUUUUAAGUUUUUGAUUUCAAAAUGACAAUAUUAUUCCUUGAUGCAGAACUUAUGCAUUUCCAAAGUUAAGAUAUUUUAGAAGAAUGUAAAAAGUGGACAAAAGCACUAAGAGAUCUUGGUGGGUGUACGUGGAAGGCUUUACAUAAUUAGUAGCUUGUUUCAUCUUUCAUAUGUAAUUAGGAAUUCAGGAGAAAUUGUUUAUGACUUGAAAAAUGCUUUUGGGAACUCAUUUGUGCAUAUGAAAAGUUUUGCAGGCCCGCAUAUUGGUGGACUGGGCACUUGGUAUUCAAACAUCUAUCGCAUUGCACCAAUUUCCUUGCGUUAUGGUAAUACCUUCGUGCCAUGGGGUAUAAGAAGCUUUUCAUAUGGUUAUGGUAAUACCUUGUUUUAUGGUAACAUCUAUUGACAUUAGAGAAUUCUAGGAUUGUCACGCUUUUAUGUAAAAGAAAAACAAUCGGAAAAGUUAUUAUACGCUU